UUCGCUUGGUUAUUGGAUCUCUUACGAAACGUGUUUAACUUUACCCAAAUCCGGUUCCCCACCCGACACCAACCCCUCUAUCCCUCGUCUUUCUCUCAUCCUUCUCUCGAUCUAGAGAGAGAGAGAGAGAGAGAGAGAGCUGAGGAGAUGGCAAUGUCAACAAGGAUUUGGCGGACGAGGCGGAGCGGGAGCUGCAUUACUGGUGAUAAUGACACCACUACAACUUCAAGCGCAAGUCCAUUGAAGGUCUUGAACCUGGUUGAUACUUAACACACCACAAAGCCACUUUGCAAAUCCUCUCAGCUUUAUCUCGGUCAUUGUGUUCUAUCUGUUGGGUUCAGCCCCAUUGAGGGCUGGGAAUUAAGUCGGGCUUCAGCUCAUUACCUAAGAUAUAUAUAUAUAUAUAUAUAUAUCAACAAUGGACAAGGGCAAAACUAGAAAACCAAUUAGGUGAAGAAAAUAGGCUGCAGAGCUAUAGUUAGAGAUGAAAGGAAGGUGAGAAAGAGAAAGGAAGAGAGAAAGAAAAGAGCACAAGAAGAAGGAGGUGAAGUUGGGUUGCAAGAUGAUCGGACGGCGAAGUCAAGCCGGAUUUAGCGCUGAUUUGAGGAAGAGAAUCCUUGCAAGUUGCCCUACAAAUCUAUCGGUUUGAUCCCUCUUUGAUCUCUUUGUUGGUGUUUGUUGUGAUACUCAUUGUUUUUGAGAUCUAGAUCUUUUCUUGAAGUUGUCUCUUGUGAAUCCAUCUUGUGUUGAUGAUGCUCAUCUUGUUAUGAACCUCUACCUUGUGUCCAGAAUUGUGAAGAUUGUAAUCCUAUUGUUGAUACAUUGUAAAAGUAUUUAAAAGGUUCUAAGGAGUCAUGUGGUUUUUUUCCCUCGAUUUAGAGGGGGUUUUCAUGCUAAAAGCUUGUUGUUAGCUUGCUUUGUUGUUUUA